AAAAGCGGGGGAGCCUCUUGCAUACGGUCACCCAGCCCCAUCCCCAGUUGUCCUAGGCUCUGUUUCCUCCUCCCCGUCACUUCCUGCCCUCCUUAGGGCCUGUAUCUUUGCUUGUUUUCAUAGCAGACAGGUGUCUAGUGCCUGGUGCUCCUCCUGCACCCGCUCCCCCGCCAACUCUAGGGGCCAAAGCAGCUUUAAUUAAAGGCAAAGUUGAUUUCAUCACUCCCUGUUUACAAACCCCAGAAGAUUCCAUUCCCAUUGAGGGAAUCCACGCGUCUCAGCAGAUGCUUCCAGUCCCUUUUGGAAAGAAAUGAGGUAUAAAGAGAAUGAACUGGAGUCUUGCAGACUAGAGGGGAGCUAGAUAAGGAAAUGGGGACCACAAGCACAAGGACCCUCUUCCUAGGUGGGGUGGAGAGGGCAUAAGGAUGGCAAGACCUAUUUACAUCCUUGCCAGCUCCCUGGCUGGGAACAUAGUAAAUAUCUUUGUUGAUGGGGUGUGAGGAGGAGCUAAGUAGACCAGGCUCUGGGCCUGGUUUCCUUGGAGAGGGGAAAAUGAAAGUGCUGACACGUAAACUCCCGACUCCGGAGUCUCCGACACCCUGCAUCCAUGGAUCUGCAGGGCAGGCAUCACCCCACCAGCCUGGGUGAGCCUCCUGGGGCUGGGCUUGGCCAAAGGCUGCCAGGUUGGAAAGCUGAGCUUGGAAGACGUCUGUUGUUUUCCUUUCUGCUUAAAUUUUGAGGU